rnacentral:misc_RNA from 1 species
GAGGAAACUCACCUAUUAAUCCAAAGCCUGGAAGUUGGAUGCUCAGUACCUUAUUCUCAUCAACAUGCCAGCAACUGAUUCCAACAAAGUGACAGAUGAAGCCUUCAGUAGCAUCACUGAACUCCCAAGAGCCCAAAGAAUUGAAAGGGUCAUGUAAUGAAUCUUUUAUUGAUUUCAAGCAAUAAACAUCACUCUCUGAAGCACAACACACACA